AGCACCGGCUAACUACGUGCCAGCAGCCGCGGUAAUACGUAGGGUGCGAGCGUUGUCCGGAAUUAUUGGGCGUAAAGAGCUCGUAGGCGGUUUGUCGCGUCUGCUGUGAAAUCCCGAGGCUCAACCUCGGGCUUGCAGUGGGUACGGGCAGACUAGAGUGCGGUAGGGGAGAUUGGAAUUCCUGGUGUAGCGGUGGAAUGCGCAGAUAUCAGGAGGAACACCGAUGGCGAAGGCAGAUCUCUGGGCCGUAACUGACGCUGAGGAGCGAAAGCAUGGGGAGCGAACAGGAUUAGAUACCCUGGUAGUCCAUGCCGUAAACGUUGGGCGCUAGAUGUAGGGACCUUUCCACGGUUUCUGUGUCGUAGCUAACGCAUUAAGCGCCCCGCCUGGGGAGUACGGCCGCAAGGCUAAAACUCAAAGGAAUUGACGGGGGCCCGCACAAGCGGCGGAGCAUGCGGAUUAAUUCGAUGCAACGCGAAGAACCUUACCAAGGCUUGACAUACACCGGAAACGGCCAGAGAUGGUCGCCCCCUUGUGGUCGGUGUACAGGUGGUGCAUGGUUGUCGUCAGCUCGUGUCGUGAGAUGUUGGGUUAAGUCCCGCAACGAGCGCAACCCUCGUUCUAUGUUGCCAGCGGGUUAUGCCGGGGACUCAUAGGAGACUGCCGGGGUCAACUCGGAGGAAGGUGGGGAUGACGUCAAAUCAUCAUGCCCCUUAUGUCUUGGGCUUCACGCAUGCUACAAUGGCCGGUACAAAGGGCUGCGAUACCGUAAGGUGGAGCGAAUCCCAAAAAGCCGGUCUCAGUUCGGAUUGAGGUCUGCAACUCGACCUCAUGAAGUCGGAGUCGCUAGUAAUCGCAGAUCA
rnacentral:rRNA from 1 species